UUCACAAUUGCAGCCCCACCACAAACAUUGUGGCAUAAUUCGGACAGUGACCAGGACCGGGAUGAGGCCGCUCAGCAACCCCAGGAAGAGGAACACAGAGCUGAUAGCCGCACCCAGUCACCAGCCGUGAUUCCUGUGGUGCCCCCAGACGUCUUUCUGCUGCUACCGCUGCUCCUGCAGCUGCUGCUUCAGCUGGUGGAUGGCCCAAAUCCAUGGUGAGAUGCGGUUGACCAUCCAUUGUGAAUUCCAGGACCUGGUGGCAGCCAUGGCAGCCCAGUCUCACCGACCAGGGGGCUCUGCUGAGGGUGAAGUCCCUGGUCCACCUGCUGCUCCCCGGCCACCCUC